rnacentral:rRNA from 1 species
GCACAAGCGGUGGAGCAUGUGGCUUAAUUCGACGCAACGCGAAGAACCUUACCAAGGCUUGACAUACACCGGAAACGGCCAGAGAUGGUCGCCCCCUUGUGGUCGGUGUACAGGUGGUGCAUGGCUGUCGUCAGCUCGUGUCGUGAGAUGUUGGGUUAAGUCCCGUAACGAGCGCAACCCUUGUUCUGUGUUGCCAGCAUGCCCUUCGGGGUGAUGGGGACUCACAGGAGACUGCCGGGGUCAACUCGGAGGAAGGUGGGGACGACGUCAAGUCAUCAUGCCCCUUAUGUCUUGGGCUGCACACGUGCUACAAUGGCAGGUACAAUGAGCUGCGAAGCCGUGAGGCGGAGCGAAUCUCAAAAAGCCUGUCUCAGUUCGGAUUGGGGUCUGCAACUCGACCCCAUGAAGUCGGAGUUGCUAGUAAUCGCAGAUCAGCAUUGCUGCGGUGAAUACGUUCCCGGGC